GAAAGUGUAGCUCAGUGGUAGUGCACUUGCUUAGAAUGCAUGAGGUAUGGGUUCAAUCCCUAGCACCA
rnacentral:tRNA from 1 species